UACGUAGGGAGCAAGCGUUGUCCGGAUUUACUGGGUGUAAAGGGCGCGUAGGCGGGAUCGCAAGUCAGAUGUGAAAUCUAGGGGCUUAACCCCUAAACUGCAUUUGAAACUGCGGUUCUUGAGUGAUGGAGAGGCAGGCGGAAUUCCUAGUGUAGCGGUGAAAUGCGUAGAUAUUAGGAGGAACACCAGUGGCGAAGGCGGCCUGCUGGACAUUAACUGACGCUGAGGCGCGAAAGCGUGGGGAGCAAACAGGAUUAGAUACCCCGGUA
rnacentral:rRNA from 1 species